GGGGGUGUGGCGGAACGGUAGACGCACCGCACUCAAAAUGCGGCGGGCGCAAGUCCAUGUGGGUUCGAUUCCCACCGCCCCUA
rnacentral:tRNA from 1 species